GAUGAACGCUGGCGGCGUGCCUAAUACAUGCAAGUCGAGCGAACGGACGAGAAGCUUGCUUCUCUGGUGUUAGCGGCGGACGGGUGAGUAACACGUGGAUAACCUACCUAUAAGACUGGGAUAACUUCGGGAAACCGGAGCUAAUACCGGAUAAUAUUUUGAACCGCAUGGUUCAAAAGUGAAAGACGGUCUUGCUGUCACUUAUAGAUGGAUCCGCGCUGCAUUAGCUAGUUGGUAAGGUAACGGCUUACCAAGGCAACGAUGCAUAGCCGACCUGAGAGGGUGAUCGGCCACACUGGAACUGAGACACGGUCCAGACUCCUACGGGAGGCAGCAGUAGGGAAUCUUCCGCAAUGGGCGAAAGCCUGACGGAGCAACGCCGCGUGAGUGAUGAAGGUCUUCGGAUCGUAAAACUCUGUUAUUAGGGAAGAACAGAUGUGUAAGUAACUGUGCACAUCUUGACGGUACCUAAUCAGAAAGCCACGGCUAACUACGUG
rnacentral:rRNA from 1 species